AGCCGGGGAGUCAGCGGCACCCUGUACCUGCAAUCCGCUAUAGCAGGGGUGAUGUUCGGCCUAGGGCAAUCGUUUAUGGAGCUGCCUGGUGUAAGUGGUGUUGACAUUUGGGUCUUUCGCAAUGAGAAUUCAUGAAUCAUGUCAGGUCAGGAAUGAAGCAGCAUUAAGUGAAACCUCUCAUGUGCCGGAAGGAAGCCUGGAUCGAGCUAACUGCACCAGUACCGUC
rnacentral:SRP_RNA from 1 species